CCUACGGGUGGCAGCAGUGGGGAAUAUUGCACAAUGGGCGCAAGCCUGAUGCAGCAACGCCGCGUGAGGGAUGACGGCCUUCGGGUUGAAACCUCUUUUAGCAGGGAAGCGGUACCUGCAGAAAAAGCACCGGCUAACUACGUGCCAGCAGCCGCGGUAAUACGUAGGGUGCGAGCGUUGUCCGGAAUUAUUGGGCGUAAAGAGCUCGUAGGCGGUCUGUCGCGUCUGCUGUGAAAUCCCGAGGCUCAACCUCGGGUCUGCAGUGGGUACGGGCAGGCUAGAGUGCGGUAGGGGAGAAUGGAACUCCUGGUGUAGCGGUGGAAUGCGCAGAUAUCAGGAAGAACACCGAUGGCGAAGGCAGUUCUCUGGGCCGUACUGACGCUGAGGAGCGAAAGCGUGGGGAGCGAACAGGAUUAGAUACCCUUGUAGUC
rnacentral:rRNA from 1 species